AGUGGUUGGGGUGAUCUGACCUGAGAAACCAAGGGUGAUUUCAACCAAGUGGGUCAGGUAUGCAGGUUUCUUUCCUGCCUUACAACUUUGUAUGUGUUCCUCUUGAAAACAGAGGCUUGGUUAAAGACACCAACCAUUCUCAACAGAGGUAGACCAUUCUUCUGUGAAAGCUAGAAAAUAGUGGCAUUCCCCUGCUAGAAUCCCCAAACUUAUAAAAUACAAAUAUGAUUAUAAUGUAAAUACAUGAUACCUGUG
rnacentral:lncRNA from 1 species